rnacentral:rRNA from 1 species
GGAGGCAGCAGUGAGGAAUAUUGGGCAAUGGAGGCAACUCUGACCCAGCCAUGCCGCGUGCAGGAAGACUGCCCUAUGGGUUGUAAACUGCUUUUAUACAGGAAGAAACACUGCUACGUGUAGCAGCUUGACGGUACUGUAAGAAUAAGGACCGGCUAACUCCGUGCCAGCAGCCGCGGUAAUACGGAGGGUCCGAGCGUUAUCCGGAAUCAUUGGGUUUAAAGGGUCCGCAGGCGGUCAAUUAAGUCAGAGGUGAAAUCCCAUAGCUUAACUAUGGAACUGCCUUUGAUACUGGUUGACUUGAGUCAUAUGGAAGUAGAUAGAAUGUGUAGUGUAGCGGUGAAAUGCAUAGAUAUUACACAGAAUACCGAUUGCGAAGGCAGUCUACUACGUAUGUACUGACGCUGAGGGACGAAAGCGUGGGGAGCGAACAGGAUUAGAUACCCUGGUAGUCCACGCCGUAAACGAUGGAUACUAGUUGUUGGGCAUUAGCUCAGUGACUAAGCGAAAGUGAUAAGUAUCCCACCUGGGG